UACGUAGGGGGCAAGCGUUGUCCGGAAUCAUUGGGCGUAAAGAGCGCGUAGGCGGUCCGGUAAGUCCGCUCUGAAAGUCCGGGGCUCAACCCCGGGAGGCGGGCGGAUACUGUCGGGCUAGAGUCCGGAAGAGGCGAGUGGAAUUCCUGGUGUAGCGGUGGAAAUGCGCAGAUAUCAAGGAGGAACACCGAUUGCGAAGGCAGCUCGC
rnacentral:rRNA from 1 species